rnacentral:ncRNA from 1 species
GUUUGAUUUUGUCUUAAAAAUUAAUUUUCUGAAAAAAUUAUAUGAAUUUUAAUCAAUUUUUUGCAUUCAGUAAUUAAUUUUUAUUAAUAUAAUUAUUAAGUUAUUCAGUUUAUUUUUGAUAAAAAUUGUGCCAGCAUUCGCGGUUAUACAAUUUAAAUAAAUUAAUUGCUUAAGUUUUAAUUUGGUAUAUUUAAGAAUAUUUACAUAAUUUAUUUAGGUGAAAUUUUUACUUUAAUUUUAGUUCAUUUUAAAUUUUUAGUAAAUCUUUUCUUAAAAUUAGGAUUAGAUACCCUAUUAUUUAAAUGAUUUAAUUUUUUAAACUUUAACAUUAAUAGGUAUUUUCUAUAAAAUUAAAAUAAUUUGGCGGUAGUUUAUUAUUAGGGGAACCUGUUCUUUAAUUGAUACACCACGAUAGGUUAAACUUUUACUUUAUUUGUAUAUCUCUAUAUUUUGAGGUAUUUUUAUAAUAAUUCUUUUUUUUUUAUUAAAUUUUAUAUUAGGUCAAGGUGCAGUUAUUUUAAAAGUAAGUGUGGGUUACUUUAAUUUUAAUUUUUUUUUGGAUAAUUACUUUAUAACUAAGUUGAAAUAGGAUUUAAUAGUAAUUUUAAAUUAUUUUUUAAUUUGAAUAAAUUUUUAAAUUAUGUACAUAUUGCCCGUCACUCUCAUUUAAGUUGAGAUAAGUCGUAACAAAGUAAUUGUACUGGAAGGUGUAAUUAGAUU